rnacentral:lncRNA from 1 species
CUCCAACUGAGCCCCUUCAUGGACUGGGUGACCCUGUUUCCCUCCCCCUCCCCGCUGGGUGUGUCAUAAAUCAGAUUCUCCAACUGAGCACCUUCACAGGCUGGGUUGUCAUCAAUCACAUUCUCCAAUUAAAUAUAUUCCUGGGGCAAAAGCUCUGGUAUUUUAGCUACAAUCUUUUAAAGAUAAAGAGUUGGAAGGUGCUUUUGCUUUCGAACUGCUGCCCUGCGCUUCCAGAUUUCCUUCCUCCCCCUCUCCUUUUCUUAAAAUGGCAUCACCAUCUCUGCCUUCACUGCCCCACCCCCACCUUCCAAAGGGCCUCCAGACCCCCCCAGGCAGUGCUCCCUGUACACCACCCCACCCCGGUCUUUCUCCAGGCCCCCUUUCCUUAAAGCACAGCCCCCUCCCAACACAUACCCGCUCGGUAAAGAGCAGGGGCUGGCCUUGGGUGCAAGGCCCCCCUGCUCCUCCAAGGCCCUAUGACCGGAGGGGGAGGGCUGUAAGCAGGAGCACAGAGGGAUGGGGUGGGUGUGAUAGCAGGCCAGGAGACUGGGGAGUCAGUGCUGACUCAGAGAGGAAGGGGAGGGGGGUUUUUCCUUCUCAAGAGAAGCUGCAGGGAAGACUGUUCCACCCAUUUCUCCCCACGCACCCCGGUCUGCUUGUCCAGGGGGUGACUCACCGCUCGCUGCUGAACCCGGGCUUGGGCUGGCUUCUGCAGGUGCCUCUCGCUCUCCUGCUGCAACUCCAGCAGGGCCUUCAGGGAGGGGCUCUGCUUGGCCAGGCCCCCCCAGAGGGGCUGCGUGCUUUGCUGCUGCUGCUGCUGGAGGAAGCUGUUCAGCUGCUGCUGCUGGGCCAGGUCCCCAGAUGCCAUUUUCUGCUGGAGGGCACAUUGGGCGUAUUGCCGGCUGCAAGACACAAAAGGCGGAGUGGCUCCCACAUCCCCCCACCCAGGAAAAGAGCCAGGCUCCUCUGCUCCCUCCCCCCGCCCACCCUGCAUCCCACUGUGGCACUGGGGCAUUGCCCGUACCUGUUGACUAGCUGAAGCAACUGCUGUUGCUGGAGCUGUUGGUAGAUGGCUGCGGCUGCCAGUUCCUGCUGCUUCUUCAAGCGCUCCUGGUCCAUGUUUCCCUGGAGGGGCAAGAGGAGGGGGUCACCUACCCCCUGCAUGAAGACAGGACCCUGGAGCUGCCUGCAAAGGGACCCUGCCACUCCCUCACACACACACACACACACACACACACACACACACCUCGUAAGCUGAAUGGAGAGGUUCUUCAAUGCUCCACCUUCCAAGUUGGGGAGGGGGGAUGAAAGGACAAAGCUCUAAAUGAAGGGGGGCAUUGAGUCCCACACCAGAGGUGGCCCUAAAAAUGGCUUCCAAUGAAGAGCAUAUGCUGCCUAACCCAGGGGUCUCCAACCUUGGCCACUUUAAGCCUGGUGGACUUCGACUCCCAGAAUUCCCCCAGCCGGCUUUGCUAGACUUCAACCCUCUAUGCCUGCUUACUCUCUUGUCAUCCCUUCCUCUGCAAUCUGUCUGCUUACUCUCUUAUUAUUAUUUAUUUAUUUAUUAAUGGGACUUAUUAUGUGCGCCCCAUCUC